rnacentral:rRNA from 1 species
AUUAGCUGGAGAGUUUGAUCCUGGCUCAGGACGAACGCUGGCGGCGUGCCUAACACAUGCAAGUCGAGCGGGUA